GGGAAAGUGCACUAUGGGACAAUGGGAGGGGGACACACUAUGGGAUCAGAACACUAUGGGACAGGGUAGGAGGGGUUAAAGAACACUAUGGGACAGGGUAGGAGGGGUUAACAAUCACUAUGGGACAGGGUAGGAGGGGUUAACAAUCACUAUGGGACAGGGUAGGAGGGGUUAACAAUCACUAUGGGACAGAGGAAAGGGGGGUUAAAGAUCAUUAUGGGACAGGGGAGAAAAAAAAAUAUUC